UAUGGUCAUAUCACAUUGAAACAGUGGUUCCUACACAAUCACCGAAGUUAAGCAACGUCAAGCCUUGUCAGUACCUAGAUGGGUGAGUGCUUGGGAAUACCAGGUGCUGUAA